GAUGCAUGGAAUAAAAAACGAUUCGCAAAGUGCAGGGAAUGGAGUCAGUGUCAAUAUUAGUACUAAAGAGCAUACCAUUAAUAUCCGGAUAUGUAUAACACGUCAUUAUUUGAUAUCAGCAUCAGUCAUAUACCAAUGAAAGUAGUAAUAUAUUACUAUAGCAAUUCUAUGUAAUCUACUACACAGAACUAAUUGCAUUACAAGUUAAAUAUCACAAAGACUUCCCAGAAAAAUAUUAACAUGCCUAAUAUUUUACACAUUAUUUAAAAAAAGAGAUACAGUACGACGAGUCAUAGAAAUGGACACAUAUAUAUAUAUAAUCUGAAACAGUUCCGUAUCAAGCUCAUAAAUUUAACAAAAACCCAUUCUUCGCAUUCAUACAUCAAGCUUAACGUUUUUUUCAAGGCUAAAUCAUCAUAUGCAGCACAUUUAAAAAGAAAAACAGGAAGAAGUAGCUUUGAACCAAAGCAAAACAAACAAAAUUAAGAAUUAUUCAGAUAUCCGAUUAAUUACUUAACCGUCAGGUGAUAAAAUGAUAAAUUGAAAACGAAAUAACGCGCCGUUUCUAGCUCUCGAACUUUAGACUAAUUAUCUAACGAAUGUUUACUUUACCAGUCGAAGAUUCAUAGCACCGAUACGAUCACCGAUCCAACAAACACCCCGAUAAAUCUCCCCAAUGCGAAUAGAUCGAGCAACUUCAUUCUUCCUUCUUAACUUGUUUUUAACAAUAAUCAAAUAACGCGGAGAACUGUCUGUUUUUAUCUUCUUUUUAAUCCCUCUUUUUUUUUUUGUUAAACGUAUAUAUUAAUUCUUUGAUAACCUUACAAACGAUCAAACGACCUUAAAACAUAGAUAAAAACAGAGUCUGCCGGUCCAAAACAUGCAUCGUAUAAAAAUAGUAAGCGUAGAUUGCGCGAUCGCGUGAUGUUGUAAAAUUAAAAGAAAAACUUAUCGGCGCCGUGUAAUAAAGGUGUGUUUUGAUGGGUUUGAUUUCAAUCAUUGAAUGAAUAACAGAAAGAGAAUAAACGAAAAAGA
rnacentral:misc_RNA from 1 species